rnacentral:rRNA from 1 species
CCCUUAGAUGUUCUGGGCCGCACGCGCGCUACACUGAUGCAUUCAACGAGUCUAAAACUUGCUCUGAUAGGGGUGGGUAAUCUUUUGAAUGUGCAUCGUGAUUGGGAUAGAUGAUUGCAAUUUUUCAUCUUCAACGAGGAAUGCCUAGUAAACGCAAGUCAUCAGCUUGCAUUGAUUACGUCCCUGCCCUUUGUACACACCGCCCGUCGCUCCUACCGAUUGAAUGAUCCGAUGAAUAUCAUGGAUUGAGGAUGCAAGUAGGUUCGCCUAUCUUCAUCUUCGAGAAGUGAAGUAAAUCUUAUCAUUUAGAGGAAGGAGAAGUCGUAACA